GCCGGUAAGAUGGCCCCUGCCUAUCAUUACUCCUCAGUCUCGCAUCACCACCUCCUCUCUCACUUUCUUUCUAGGGUUUCCCAGACCAAAAAAAUAUAUAAAAAAAAUACACAAAGUAAGAAAAAAGAGAAGCAGCAGUUGAGAAUUUUCUUGGAUCCAAUUCGCUUCACAACAAUAUGGCGACUCAAAUGAGCAAAAAGCGAAAGUUUGUGGCUGACGGAGUGUUCUAUGCGGAGCUGAAUGAGGUGUUGACGAGAGAGCUCGCGGAGGACGGCUACUCAGGCGUUGAAGUUAGGGUUAGGCCAAUGCGGACCGAGAUUACCAUCAGGGCCACUCGGACUCAGAACAUUCUGGGUGAGAAGGGACAAAGAAUUAGGGAACUUACAUCUAGUGUUCAGAAGCGUUUCAAGUUUCCUGAGAACACUGUUGAGCUUUAUGCUGAGAAAGUGAACAACAGAGGGCUCUGUGCCAUUGCUCAGGCAGAGUCUCUGCAUUACAAGCUUCUUGAAGGGCUUGUUGUCCGGAGGGCUUGCUAUGGGGUUCUUAGAUUUGUCAUGGAGAAUGGAGCAAAAGGAUGUGAGGGCUUGCUAUGGUGUUCUUAGAUUUGUUGUGGAGAAUGGAGCAAAAGGAUGUGAGGUAUGUAAAGAAAGAAUGGAGAAUGGAGUAAUAAUGAGGGUAUCUAUUGACUCAUGAAUCAGCAAGGCUUGCUAUGGUGUUCUUAGAUUUGUUGUGGAGAAUGGAGCAAAAGGAUGUGAGGUAUGUAAAGAAAGAAUGGAGAAUGGAGUAAUAAUGAGGGUAUCUAUUGCCUCAUGAAUCAGCAAGGCUUGCUAUUGUGUUCUUAGAUUUGUCAUGGAGAAUGGACCAAAAGGAUGUGAGUUAGUGGUAAGCUCAGGGCUCAGCGCGCCAAAUCUAUGAAGUUCAAGGAUUGAUACAUGAUAUCCGCUGGUCUGCCUGUCAAUGAAUAUAUUGAUUCUGCUGUGAGGCAUGUGCUUCAUAGACAGGGUGUUCUUGGCAUCAAGGUGAAGAUAAUGCUUGAUUGGGAUCCCAAGGGCAAGGUAGGCCCCAAAACACCCUUGCCUGAUAUAGUUACCAUCCACUCACCCAUGGAGGAAGAGGACUACAACGUUAGGCCCGCACUGGCAACAGCUAAUAUACAGGUUGCAGUAUAUUAAACUAGUCUCUCCCCCCUCCCUCUUCCGUAGCUUUGACUUUGUAGUGUCCAGGACUAGAGAAGAGGCGUUUUGAGAGGCCUUCUGCUCAAUUCUUUUAAAGAUGGGGCUUUUUAAGUUAUGGUUCCAUUUUUGUUCUUUUAUGUUGAGUUGUUGACUGGUGAAGGGAUCUGUUUUGCCUUUGUUUUUAGCGGUUGGUAUCUUAAUUGCUGUUUGUUUGGCGGUG